GGAGUACAUUGGUUGGAGGAGGAAGUGUGUGAACCUGAGGGAGAAAGGCAUGCGUAUUUCAAUGAGGUCGACAGCUAAAAUCCGCAGCCUCCAUUCUGAGCACCGAUAGCUGGAUCUUCCGAUGUCAGCAUAGACGUGGCAGAUGAAAUCCUGUCUGCAUUUUUGCUGCCCAGGAAGAGCAACAGGCACUUAAAUCACUUUAGUGGCUGCUCUUUGCUGAGAAGCUUAUUUUCUCCACAAAUAAAGAGCUGAAAAGUCCCUUCUGCUCUGGAGCAGAUCGGGCCAAGGAAGAACAGACGGGAAGACCUAGAAUUAAAUCCAUAUUCAGGAAGGAAAGCGCUGUUCUCAGCAGAAAUCCCAACAGUAGCCACUGUUAAUUAACGAAGACAACAGUCAGCAUAGGCGUCUUGAGCCUCAGCCAGUCACAGACAGCCUCGCUCCAGUAACUACGCUCCAGAGCCAGAGUCAAAAAAGACAGCCAAUCAGGGAAGACAGCCGAUGCCAAGUUCAGUUUUAUGAAAUCUUAACCGCUGGAUACCUCCACCCUUCCGCCAUCCUUGUUUAUGGUUUACUGUGAGUUCAGACUUGUGAGUGACAGGUGAAAGAAAGCGCUUUGCAUUUAGCAAAUUCAGUAUUUUUCGUUCUUGUGCUGGCUUCUAUUAUCUGUUCUUUUAUUUGUUCAUAUAGAAAACCACAAAUGCCAGGGGGAAGCAUAUAUUUUCUUAGUUAUGGGUAUUUAUCAAGCGAGGAAAGAGCCCCCUAACGUUCCUUGUGCAUCAUGCAGUUGUUCAUUUAAUAGAAAAACAGUAGAAAGACUAAUAAACUAGCAUCUAUUGACAGGCAUAAAGAAAACGCAUGAGCCGGGCGUUGGUGGCGCACGCCUUAUUUAAUCUCAGCACUCGGGAGGCAGAGGCAGGCGGAUCUCUGUGAGUUCGAGACCAGCCUGGUCUACAGAGCGAGUUCCAGGACAACCUCCAAAGCAAUACAGAGAAACCCUGUCUCGAAAAACCAAAACCAAAAGGAAAAAGGAAGGAAGAAAGGAAGGAAGGAAGGAAGGAAGGAAGGAAGGAAGGAAGGAAGGAAGGAAGGAAGAAGAAAAUGCAUGAGCAGGGCUUGAUGGCUCAUGCCUUUUAUCCCAGCACUCUGGAGGAUCUCUGUGAGUUCAAAGCCAUUCAGA
rnacentral:lncRNA from 1 species